rnacentral:rRNA from 1 species
AGUUUGAUCCUGGCUCAGAACGAACGCUGGCGGCAUGCCUAACACAUGCAAGUCGAACGAAGCCUUCGGGCUUAAUGGCGCACGGGUGCGUAACACGUGGGAAUCUGCCCUUUGGUUCGGAAUAACAGUUAGAAAUGACUGCUAAUACCGGAUAAUGACGUAAGUCCAAAGAUUUAUCGCCGAAGGAUGAGCCCGCGUAGGAUUAGGUAGUUGGUGGGGUAAUGGCCCACCAAGCCGACGAUCCUUAGCUGGUCUGAGGGGAUGAUCAGCCACACUGGGACUGAGACACGGCCCAGACUCCUACGGGAGGCAGCAGUGGGGAAUAUUGGACAAUGGGCGAAAGCCUGAUCCAGCAAUGCCGCGUGAGUGAUGAAGGCCUUAGGGUUGUAAAGCUCUUUUACCAGGGAUGAUAAUGACAGUACCUGGAGAAUAAGCUCCGGCUAACUCCGUG